rnacentral:rRNA from 1 species
UACGUAGGGGGCAAGCGUUAAUCGGAAUUACUGGGCGUAAAGCGUGCGCAGGCGGCUUUGCAAGUCAGAUGUGAAAUCCCCGGGCUCAACCUGGGAACUGCAUUUGUGACUGCAUGGCUAGAGUGCGGCAGAGGGGGAUGGAAUUCCGCGUGUAGCAGUGAAAUGCGUAGAUAUGCGGAGGAACACCGAUGGCGAAGGCAAUCCCCUGGGCCUGAACUGACGCUCAUGCACGAAAGCGUGGGGAGCAAACAGG